rnacentral:rRNA from 1 species
UUCGGACUGUAGGCUGCAACUCGCCUACACGAAGUCGGAAUCGCUAGUAAUCGCGGAUCAGCAUGCCGCGGUGAAUACGUUCCCGGGCCUUGUACACACCGCCCGUCACACCAUGAGAGUUGGCAAUACCCAACGUACGUGAUCUAACCCGCAAGGGAGGAAGCGUCCUAAGGUAGGGUCAGCGAUUGGGGUGAAGUCGUAACAAGGUACC